GCCAGCAUGGUGUAGUGGUUACAGCCCUGGACUAUGACUCUGGAGACCAGAGUUCAAAUCUUUGCUCAGCCA